rnacentral:rRNA from 1 species
GAUGAACGCUGGCGGCGUGCCUAAUACAUGCAAGUCGAGCGAACAGAUGAGGAGCUUGCUCCUCUGACGUUAGCGGCGGACGGGUGAGUAACACGUGGAUAACCUACCUAUAUGACUGGGAUAACUUCGGGAAACCGGAGCUAAUACCGGAUAAUAUAUUGAACCGCAUGGUUCAAUAGUGAAAGACGGUUUUGCUGUCACUCAUAGAUGGAUCCGCGCCGCAUUAGCUAGUUGGUAAGGUAACGGCUUACCAAGGCAACGAUGCGUAGCCGACCUGAGAGGGUGAUCGGCCACACUGGAACUGAGACACGGUCCAGACUCCUACGGGAGGCAGCAGUAGGGAAUCUUCCGCAAUGGGCGAAAGCCUGACGGAGCAACGCCGCGUGAGUGAUGAAGGUCUUCGGAUCGUAAAACUCUGUUAUUAGGGAAGAACAAAUGUGUAAGUAAAUAUGCACGUCUUGACGGUACCUAAUCAGAAAGCCACGGCUAACUACGUG